rnacentral:rRNA from 1 species
GUGGGGAAUAUUGGACAAUGGGCGAAAGCCUGAUCCAGCCAUGCCGCGUGUGUGAAGAAGGUCUUCGGAUUGUAAAGCACUUUAAGUUGGGAGGAAGGGCAGUAAGUUAAUACCUUGCUGUUUUGACGUUACCGACGGAAUAAGCACCGGCUAACUUCGUGCCAGCAGCCGCGGUAAUACGAAGGGUGCAAGCGUUAAUCGGAAUUACUGGGCGUAAAGCGCGCGUAGGUGGUUUUGUAAGUUGGAGGUGAAAUCCCCGGGCUCAACCUGGGAACUGCCUCCAAAACUGGAUGACUAGAGUACGGUAGAGGGUAGUGGAAUUUCCUGUGUAGCGGUGAAAUGCGUAGAUAUAGGAAGGAACACCAGUGGCGAAGGCGACUACCUGGACUGAUACUGACACUGAGGUGCGAAAGCGUGGGGAGCAAACAGGAUUAGAAACCCGGGUAGUCC